GAGUUUGAUCGUGGCUCAGGAUGAACGCUGGCGGCGUGCCUAAUACAUGCAAGUCGAGCGAACAGACGGGGAGCUUGCUCCCCUGACGUUAGCGGCGGACGGGUGAGUAACACGUGGGUAACCUACCUAUAAGACUGGAAUAACUCCGGGAAACCGGGGCUAAUGCCGGAUAACAUGUUGGACCGCAUGGUCCUACAGUGAAAGACGGUCUUGCUGUCACUUAUAGGUGGACCCGCGCCGUAUUAGCUAGUUGGUAAGGUAACGGCUUACCAAGGCAACGAUACGUAGCCGACCUGAGAGGGUGAUCGGCCACACUGGAACUGAGACACGGUCCAGACUCCUACGGAGGCAGCAGUAGGGAAUCUUCCGCAAUGGGCGAAAGCCUGACGGAGCAACGCCGCGUGAGUGAUGAAGGCCU
rnacentral:rRNA from 1 species